AAGGGAUUUUUUCAAUUCAUCGGCCUCAGAUUGGUAGGACUACCCGCUGAACUUAAGCAUAUCAAUAAGCGGAGGAAAAGAAACUAACAAGGAUUCCCCUAGUAACGGCGAGUGAAGAGGGAAGAGCCCAAGAUUGAAAGCUGGCGUCUUCGGCGUCCGCAUUGUAAUCUCAAGAAGUGUUUUCCGCUUCGGACCAUGCCUAAGUCCCUUGGAAAAGGGCAUCAUAGAGGGUGAUAAUCCCGUACAUGGCAUGGAGCGCCCGAAGCUUUGUGAUACGCUUUCUAAGAGUCGAGUUGUUUGGGAAUGCAGCUCAAAAUGGGUGGUAAAUGCCAUCUAAGGCUAAAUAUUGGGGAGAGACCGAUAGCGAACAAGUACAGUGAUGGAAAGAUGAAAAGAACUUUGAAAAGAGAGUUAAACAGUACGUGAAAUUGCCAAAAGGGAAGGGUAGGAGGUCAGAGAUGCGGCCUAGGAUUCAGCCUUGCUUUUGCUUGGUGUUUUUCCUAGAUUGCAGGCCAACGUCGGUUUUGGGCACUGGAGAAUGGUGGAAGGAAUGUGGCACCUCUCGGGGUGUGUUAUAGCCUUCUACUGGAUACAGCGACCGAGACCGAGGACAGCAGCGUACUCGCAAGAGCGGGCC
rnacentral:rRNA from 1 species